UGGGUGACAAAAUGGGCCUCUUCAUUCACUACCUGUCCACCUUUGCAUCUGGCUUUGCCACAGGGUUUGUUGAGAGCUGGGAGCUCACCCUGGUCAUCAUGUCAGUCACACCACUGCUUGCCUUUGCCACAGCAUUCCUGGACAAUAUGGUGUCCCAAUCAGCUGCCAAGGAGCAAGAAAAGUAUGCACAGGCAGAAGCAGUGGCCCUGGAAGUUCUAAGCAAGAUACGAACUGUGGCUGCCUUCUGUUUUCAAUAUGGCAAGCUGGAGCGGUACAUGACUGCUCUAGAAGCGGGCAAGACUGCUGCAAGGCGCAUGUAGCCAUGGCAUUUCGAUUCGGCCUGACAUUUGUGGUCCUUUACGAUGCCUAUGCACUUGCUUUUUGGGUUACCUUUGACUAAAAUGGCAUCUGCAAAGAACUCCUGUAAAAGAAAGAGGCGUGAUAGCGACUCGUACUCUGAACUUGGUGUGCAGCUAAAACAGUUCACCUCCCAUCUUUCUUUUAAGGACCACUCCUUCUUUUAUCCAAGAUACCCAGGUCACUUGCCAGGUGUUGCGAGACGUCAGCCUGUAAGCCGGCAAAGGUCAAGUUGUGGCCAUCUGUAGUACAAGUGGCUCGGGGAAGAGCACACUACUCAACCUGGUUGUGCGCUUCUAUGACCCCUGUUAUGGCGAGAUUACUCUGGAUGGCGUGAACUUUAGGUCUUUGAGUGUACGGUGGCUGCGUUCCGAAGUUAGCCUUGUGAGCAAGAGGACAACUUUCUUCAACUACUUCAUUGCUGAGAGCACCCAAUUUGGCCAGGGGGAAACCACAAGGACUGAAGUUGUGGAGAUGGCCAAGCUAGUUGGCAUGCACAAGUUCAUCGUUAUUGUUCCUAAGACAUUCACCCUGGUUGGGCAAGAUAUGCCAGACGCUGCUUUGUUCUGGUCCAUGAUGUUCCUGGUCCUGGCAGCUGCUAGUGGUCUGGGGCACUUCUUCAGGGCUACCGCCUGGCAGUAAUGUUCACAGUGCUCAUAAUGCUUGGAGCAAGCUUGGCAUUGGCCUUUGCCUUCCGCUGGAAACUGGCCCUGGCCCUGGUGGCCAUUGUGCCCAUUCGGGCCCUGGCCGGUGGCCUUCAGCUGCGUGUUGAAAAGGCCUCCCAGCGUCGCGAUGCACACCUCAUGACUCAUGCUAUUCAAGUGAGCACAGAGAGCAUAGAGAAUAUUAGGGCUGUUCAAGAGUUAAACCUGGAACCCAUCAUUUUUGACCUGUUCGUCGGCCACCUACUGGGGCCACUUAUAGAAUCGAAAAAGUGGAGCAUCCUGUUUGCACUCUCCUUUGCCUUCUCGCAAGGUGUAAUGUUCCUAGUGUAUGGCUGUGCCUUUCGUCUGGGUGCCUUCCUGGUUACGAGGGGGGAAGAUGGAAGCCACCAAUGUUUACAGGGUGUUCUUCACGAUGGCAUUCAGCGCGGUGUUUGUGGGCCAGUGGACUUCCAUGUUGCCCGACUAUCUCUGGGCCAGGCUGUCAGCUGGCCUAGUCUUCAACCUACUCAAAGCAGAGACUGAAAUCGAUGGUAACUCAGAUGGUGGCAUGCGUCCCGCGAAGCCCGCCGGGCAAGUCAGUUAAGUUCUCGGUGUGAAGGGCUUGAGACGAGCGACAUGCACAACCUCAGUCUUGGUGGAGCGCCGUCCAGUUGCGCCCAUGUGUUUGCGGGUGAUACGGUGUCGAGUGGCGAAAGCUGGAAGCGCCUAAUCGAAGAAGCUCUUCUACGACAUCUGCAGUAAACUGGUGGCUGCGGUCACGGAUGAUUACUCGAGGAGGGCUAUGACGGAGAAUGAUCGAAUGCAGCAGAAAAAAGGAAACUUGAGACAUCGAACGCAAGCGUUUUUGGUUCGUCAACAACUUGCCCUUCAUUAGUGUGAUCCGCUCCGACGAACACUGACACAAGUAUGAAUGAAUGAAGAGAUUCUAAUGCAGGAUGAAGAACAAGGGAACAUUCCAGUAAACAUAAUGUUGAUGGCAAAGGGGACGGUUAGGUAUACAAAGGGACAAGCUUCGCUUAUCAUCUAUCUUCACGGAGUGGAAGGGCCGAUGAAUUGUUCUGUCUCUAUGUCUCUAUUGUUAAGAAGGACGACGCCCAAGCUCGUGCCUGCCUGAUGUUUCCACAGGGUGGAAUUUAGGUGACCUUCAACUUUGAAGUCUCCUAACACCACUCUGAAAAUUCAGUGUUUGUGUCAUUGGGAACGUUCUGUCUAGGGAUUAACUCUGCAUCCAAAACUUCGACUACAAUUUAUGUCACGAGCGAAAUGACGGAGUGCCAAACACUGAAUUUCUGUGAUUGUCUUUUUCUCUGUACAUUUGCGGUAUAUUGUCACGAUGCACAAACAGCACAAAUUGCGCCAUAUAAGCCUCAUGCCAUCUGUGAAUCAUGUGAGCUGAUAUGUGAACAACGUAGUGGGUUCACUGCAACUUCGCCGUUGGCAUUGAAGUUGUAGAUGCUUUCAACAUUGUUUUGCACCAAACGUCUUUUUCUCGGCGCAUUCUCUAUUGCGUGUAUCUGCCAUGUUUAAACUUAUCAUUGUUAUUGUCAUGAACGUCUAUUUCCUGCCGCCAACGUUCUUUUCACAAGCAUGACAAUGAAUAAAUUCACGAGAACAGACUGUCAUAUUGUGAAGAAUAAUUUUUAUUCAAUGUACAUACAUAGUUCAUCCUCGUCCACUGCAGUAUUGCUUGUCCUGGACUCCUAAAUGCAUGCACAGUGUCACAAAAGAGCGCAUAAUCCAAGCACGCGCAGUGUGUCACGUAAGCCAGUGAAAGAAGCACGCCGGCUCGUGCAGCUUCGACAUAGGAGGGAGCGCGUACACCUUAAACAGCCGAUGGGCCCAAUGGAGCCUAGAAGCAUCGACAAGUUAGGCGAAGGCGACGGUAAUCAGAGAGAAUGCGUGCGCCGAAACACCCUCUCAGACCCCGACAGAAAUGGCGAGUUGAGGGAGAGGGGGGAAGCCCGAGCGCAUGCUAACGGAUGAGUCACCACCCUCCUCGCGGACGCUGCAACGGCCACGAUUGAAGGUGGGAGAAUUGACUAGAAGAUUGCCAGGCUUUGUUCAUGCUACGGGAUCCUAACUCUGACCGAAGGUUCCAUAACUCCCGGCGAAGACUAUAAAAGCGCCGUGCGAUAAUUGGAAGGGGGAUCAGACUGCGCUGGUAAAGAGAUGCUACGUGAUGAAUAUGACCGUCUGCGGAAGGGGAUUCUCCGGCAAGCUAGUCGACGAGUUCAUCGAGCAUCUGCAUUUCCGGAAGAAGUUACUUCUUUGAGAUAUGCUUGAGCUUCGCCGAGAUCUUCCGGCUCAAGACCAGCGCAGGUGAACACGAUUGGACACUUAGUGUUCCUAUUCAUUUUGCACUUUACGUGUUGCACUCUUAGUGCUUGUCGUUAAUUAUUUUCCUCUGUAUUGUGAAUACCCAUCUGAAUUGUUUUGUGAUGUGCCUUGCUGAAGUGUGUAUGUAACUACCUUGUUUGGAAGAAUAUAUUUUGUUGUGUUUUGAAAACUCUGGGCUGUGACUCGGUCUUUGGACAGCAACUGGCAUUCGCUGGCACACCAAAGGUCCCAUUACUAAUUGUCCUUGCUUUCGUGGGGUUAUUUUCGGAAGCUCAUAGGUCGGCUUAGGAAUUUGGCCCGGCGGCGGGCCAAAUUCGUCACGGGGUGUGUGACACACAGACGCCACUGCUCUCAGUCUGUCUGGAGCGCACAGACUUGUUAAGUUCGAUGACCUUCUUUUGUGAUUUAUUUUAUUUAGAAGUAGAAGCAUGUGGAGACUUAGCACAAACGUUUCCAUAUGUUUUCUGCCCCUACAGUAGUGGGUGUCACUGAGCCAAUGGUCGUUUACCGCAAGUGCACGAUGUUUCCAACCGACAACUGGGCGACCAACUGGUGCCAACAAAGGCGUCACUUGCCGGUCGUCAGUCUUGUCACCCUCAUGGUGUAGAGGGAGCUGGACGAAGGAAAAACAGGCGUGCGCCGACAGUGCUUCUUCACUCUAAAAACAGUUGCACCCUUUGGGGCGUAUUUUUGCCACAGAACAAUAAUCGUCAUCUGACUUGCGUGGCUUUCCUUUCUUUAACGCUGUGCGCCCGGCACUUCUCAGUCACGAACGACAAGAUCGUUAUGAGCGUGACACAGCGUUCUCCACAGGAAAGUAGCAAGUGCAGAGUUUUCAAGAUAGGAAACGCAAGCAAGACAGAUGACGAUUAUUGUUGUGUGGCAAAAAUGCACCUCAAAGGGUGCAACUGUUCUUAGAGUGUUGUGAAGCUAAUGGGCAGAUGGGAAUCGCAUUUUUCAGGUGGCCUCAGACACAUAGAGUAUGCAGCGGCUUGUUUUCAAACAGAUGUGCAGUUUGAGUGCAGAAUCCUGGCUAACGAGUGGAUUCCAAAAAAAGAAGCGGUAAUGCUUUUACUAGAGUUUAUUAAAGGAACUUAUUGCUGUUUGUGUUGUCUUGAGUGUUUACUUUGAUUUGUUAUCGUUGUCUUUGGAGCUAAGCCAUAAUGCCAGAGGAAAGGAGGAAAGAACGAUUGCCUGGUGGUCAAAGUUAAUCCGGGGUUCCCCACUGCGGCAUGCCUCAUAAUCAAAUCGUGGUUUUCUUCCAUAAAAUCCCAUAAUUCAUUCAGGAAACAACGAAGGCGGCCAGUAGGGGUAGCAGAUAGAAAGUUUGUUAGCUGGUUUGUUUAACCGCUAGUUCAGGUUGCAUCUCUGCGCUUGUAAAACCGCUUGUUAUUGGUGGCUACGGUUCUCCGUUGCUACGGUGCGGAGAGGCGGUGAAGGUUCAUUCUUUUGUGAAUCAAGUUGCUUAUAAAAGGCAGAUUCGUUUUUGUGAGGGGGGGACAGAACUUCAAAAGCAAUAAAAGCUUUUGAAGUUCUGUCGCUCCACAAGCAAUUGUUGACAUGUAUAUUUGUGAAUAAACCUGUGUGCACGGAGGAGUCAUUUCGAGCCGGUUUGCAACGUGUAGUCUGACAUCGUAUGGAGUAUUGAUCGACGGCCGGGGCCACUGAUCCACAGGAGUACAUUGGGAGCGAUGGCCAAGCAACGACCUGAACUCGUCAUCAAUAUCUACUUUUGUACUAACAGACCAGCACUGUUGUUGUGCUGCAGUUCCGUCGUUAGCGUGCUCGACUCCCAAAUGAACACUGAUUCACUAGCAUGGGGUCAAAUUCUAGU